AGCUCCAAUAGCGUAUAUUAAAGUUGUUGCAGUUAAAAAGCUCGUAGUUGGAUAUCUGGUGGGAGCAAUGGGUCUCGCGCUUAGCGCGGGUACUUCAAUUGACUCCGGCCAUCCUUGGGGAGAGCCCGUCUGGCAUUAGGUUGUCGGGCGGGGGAUCCCCAUCGUUUACUGUGAAAAAAUUAGAGUGUUCAAAGCAGGCUUAUGCCGCUGAAUAUAUUAGCAUGGAAUAAUAAGAUAGGACUUUGGUACUAUUUUGUUGGUUUGUGUGCCUAAGUAAUGAUUAAUAGGAACAGUCGGGGGUAUUCAUAUUCCGUUGUCAGAGGUGAAAUUCUUGGAUUUACGGAAGAUGAACUACUGCGAAAGCAUUUACCAAGGAUGUUUUCAUUAAUCAAGAACGAAA
rnacentral:rRNA from 1 species